AUUUUUAUGAUGAAAGAUGACGAGUAUGAUCGGAUAAAAGGAAUAUUUGUUAUUAUUCUUAAAUAUAUGUUUUACCCUAUUUAUUAAUGUAUAAUUAAUAAUCUUAAUUUUUAUCAUCAUGAUUAUUUGAGGCAUUUGACUGAAAAA
rfam:Plasmodium falciparum Dd2 supercont1.141 genomic scaffold, whole genome shotgun sequence.